CCCAGGAAAUGGAAGCAUCUGGCUGGAUGAGGUGAAGUGCAGGGGCAGGGAGUCCUCCCUGUGGGCCUGUGCUGCAGAACCCUGGGUCAGAGCAACUGCAAGCAUGAGGAGGACGCUGGAGUUAGGUGCUCUGGUGAAAGAACAACAUUGUUCCCCAUUACAUUAAGUACAGUGUCACCAUCUAUGGAUGGGGGGCAUAUUCAGACUUUGGGACCUGUUCUGUGGAAUCUCAGACAGAGUUAACCAAUUCAGGAAGGGAAAAUCCUGAGGAGCCUCUGGCUGGUGAUCAGGGCAUCUUUCCCAGGGAAACUUCUGCUUCUUUGGGUCACAGUGCCAGAAUGUCCCUCACGUCCUUGGGCCUUAGGAGUCUGGCUUCAGUGCUGUGGAAUGUAAGGUUUUCUGCAUUGCCAUUUAUGUGGGAUAAAGGUUGUUUACCCUUAAAGGUA